UACGAAGGGUGCAAGCGUUACUCGGAAUCACUGGGCGUAAAGCGUGCGUAGGCGGUUUCUUAAGUCUGUCGUGAAAGCCCUGGGCUCAACCUGGGAACGGCGAUGGAUACUGGGAAGCUAGAAUGUGAGAGAGGAUGGUGGAAUUCCCGGUGUAGCGGUGAAAUGCGUAGAGAUCGGGAGGAACACCAGUGGCGAAGGCGAGUCCCUGGACAGAUCCUGGCGCUGAGGCACGAAAGCUAGGGGAGCAAACGGG
rnacentral:rRNA from 1 species